rfam:Schistosoma mansoni strain Puerto Rico chromosome 1, complete genome
GCACCGCUGAGGAGUCCCAUAAUAGGACGAAACGGCCGUUCGGUGC